AACUUGUGAAUAGACUCCCAUCAGACGGUGCCUUUCCAAACUCAAGACCUUAUGGGCUAACCAAGGGCGUGACUCAGGAGCAGGGCAGCUCACUCCACUCAGCUCUGACUUGAUAAAUAGGACCAAGACAGGGCACCCACUUCAGCCUUCUGCCACUGACUGCCGAAAAUUUUGGCCAAAUCGUCUAAGCCUAUGCCCAACAGGAAUCGAACAGGCCUAACAAGAAGGGUUAUGUUACCUGCCCUUGCCUCUCUUUCCUUUCAGGCUGGCUCUUCUAGUAAAUCCAUCACCACGGAGAUGGGAAGGCGGAUUUUUCCUGCAGACUAGCAAGUGUAUUAUGAUGAAGCGAUAUAAGGAAAUAUUCACUGAGACAGAAAAAUGAGGAAGCGACGAAUGGUUUCUUGCAACAAUGUACAGACAUCCCAGCAGUAAAUGUUUACCAUUAGGCAAAGCAGCCUUCACUGGAAAAAUGUACUGUCACAGAUGACUUUGAUCAGCUGCAGAGACAGAGCCAGCCAAGCAGAGAAGGUGCUGGUUGAGGCAGCCUCUGCUAAGACCUGUGCUUUCCCCACUUACCUGAAGGUGGAAAUUUCCAGGGAAGAAGACACUAGAAAGAAGGUCAAAGGAAUUCAAUACAGGCAACUAGGUAGGAACAAACCAGUUAACAGAGAAAAUUGUCUGCUAUAGACUAUGUUUGUCCUUCAAGUUCCAAUUCACUUUUCCUAUUUCUGGGGAGAAAAUGACAUUCAAAGGAUCCCAGAUGGCCAAUGUUCAAACUGGAAGAAAUUUAAAGAUGAUAAUAACUAAUAGUUGCCUAUCCCAGCCAUCAUCUAAGCACUUGACCUGUAUUAACUCAUUUAAUCCCACAGCAGGUGCUCCUAUCAUCGCCUCCUCAGUGACCUCAUCUCGUACAAUCCCAAGUACCAGGGUUCACAUUGUCUUUGAGAGCACCAAGUGAGUGGUACCCCUGGAGCUGUGCAACCCUGCAGCCUUGCUCAUGUUACAGUGGAAGAAACAUCACAUCUCCAGCACCCUCAUUUUACUGAUGGAGAAACUGACGUUUGGUAACUCACCACACAGCCAAGAUAUUGACAGAGCUGAUUAGGACCUUGACCCCUGGUUUCCAGCCUAGAGCCUGUGCAAUCUGACAUGUGCUACAUUUUGGAAGCUUUCAGGAGCGGGCCUACGACUUCAGAUCAUUCAGUCAGAUGAAAGACCAGGACUUUGGCUUGACGAUUGAAGGCCAACAAUCUGUGCUUUGUUUCUUUCUCUGCAUGUGGACAGAGAAGCAGCCUGAUGACCAGACCCUGGUGCCAUCUUCAGCCUACAGGCAUCCUCCAUGAGCAGGGCAAGUAGAGGCAACAGAACAACUCGGGCCUCCCUAAGCCGGCAUCGCCUCUCUCUGUAAAACACAGCCCCUCCCUCCUCCGCAGGAGCCGGCCAUCUUCAGGAGAGGGGAUCAUUGCGGGGUAGGGGGUGGAAGAAGACAGCAGAGAGUAAGAAGAAGGUCCGUUGUACAUGGGAAAGGCAGACUGCCCCACGCAGCACCUCAUUUGGAUAUGUCUAGAAUCUUGGAAGCUUGACUACCCUUCGUUCUCCUACAAAUGGACCUUGAGAGCUUGUUUGGAGGGUCUAGCAGCCGAGCACAGCUACUCGGAUACCCAUGACGGAAGAACAAAGAAUGGCCCUCCUCUAUCUGGGAAGGCCAUCCUCUCACACUGAGCCGCAGCUUCUGGAGGGAUGCACAGGGAGCAGGGAAGGGAGGAGGGGGACACCCGCUGAGCCAGCCAGAUCAGCCAAAUCAACCCUGGCGACCCAUGGGUAGCAGAUUUCGUGGCCAGAUCACCUUCACAUCCACAGAGGUACCAUUUUUAUCCAGCACCUAGCACAGUGCCUAAGACAGAGAUGAGGCUCAGGAAAUGUAUAAAAGGAAAUGACAUACGAGGAAGCUGGGCCCAGGAAGGUGCAGUAACUCGCCUAAGGUCAUGCAGUUCACAGCCAGCAGAGUUGAGAUUGAAACGCCUCUGGCUUAACUACCACUUCACACUGCUUCUCAUCAAAGAAAAGACGCCAAGUUGUGGGCCCUGUGAGGGCAAAGCAGGCGAGGUGAGGGAAGGCUUCUUUCCUUGGCUUUGGUACAAGGGGGCUGGAGCCUGAAAAUGCAGGAGAGAACCCUAAAGCAGCCGUCCUGCAUGGCCAACCUUCCCCAGCCUAAGAAGAGUCAAGUAUGAGUCUCAGGUUCCCCUCAGAGUAGGGGGGAUGGUUUCAGAGUCGAAGUCCAGCCAUGAGGAGUAAUGGAGCUGUAUUUGCUGGAGGCUUUUCCAGACAUUUCCUUAUCAGCUUUUCUUCUGGAAGGAUCUUGGCAUUCAGCUAUAUUAUAGGUGCCCAGCCUGACAGAAACUCUGUUUACUCCAAGGGGUGGAGUGGACUUGGAGGGCUCCAGGUCUGUCCUCUUCUCCCUUGGCUCAGCGGGUUGGGAGAAGAUGGGAGACGAGACAGAGAGGGUGGGACUGUGCAGGAGAAAACCCAUAGCCUUUGCCUGGGAGAGUCGGAGAGGCGCAGAUCCUGUCUGACUGAUCCCAGACCCCGCCACUGCCCCUGUGACAUUUGAUAAAUGCUUCCUGUGAAACUGUUUACCCGGGAGGAAAUGGAUCAUGCUUCCCCUUCCUACCACGAGGGUGGGAAGAGGGGCUGCGCUGGUCCCAUAAAUUCCAGCAACUGUCGGUGCUCACCACCUCACCUCCCCAGGUGCCCCGAGGGGUGAGACAAAGGUGCUAGACACAGAAAGAGCUGUGACAAGAGGCAAGUACGCAGCCAGAAGGUCAUGUCUGUAGGAACACAUCCAUGUCCAUUUGUCACUGUUAUCUCCCAUUUUUUCCUCCAUUUCUUUUAAAUUAAGUUGCCAUCUGUCCUUUUUUUAUCUAGAAAGUCCUAAAGGAACCAUCUGGAGCUGGCUCCUUUUCAUUUUCCCCUGCUUGGGAGGUGAUGUGAUGGGCAUGUCUAGCAAACUGUCACAGUGGAUCUUAAAUCUUGGGAGCAGAGGUGUCCAUGGGCCUGGAAAAACCAUUUCCUUCCCCAACAAUCAGGGUCUCCUGGUUCCAGUAUCAGCUGUGCAGCUGUCUUCUCUAGAGAGGCCGUUGAAGGUAUUGAAAAGAGUGUGAUAUCAGGAGCCAGAGCAGCCAGUUCGGUCCUGGUGUCAUCACUUAUUCACUCUGUGACCUUGAGCAGGUCCCAUAACUUCUCUGAGCCUCAAUUCCCUCCCCUGGGAAAUAGAGACAAUGAUAUCAGCUGCAACGCAGUUUCCUGUGAGGGUCGAGUGAGGGAAUGCAUGUACAAAUGCAUGGAAAUAGUAAAAUAAUGCAGUUAUGGGUUUUUUUAAAGUCAAAUAAUUUGGCCGAGUUCUCCUUCUAACAGAGACAAUAAUCUAUGUUCUCGCUUUCCCAAACAUCAGGAGGACAGAAGAGGUAAGAUUUGCAAAAGUAUUCAAGAUCUCGGGUCAGUUUUUUAUUUCACCAACAUCCAAACAAUCAGAAAAUGAAAAAGACCCCAAAACUUGCUUCAAUUCUAACCGAUGACUACCUCGGCCAAUAAUAGUGCCCUGAGGCACAGCACCAAAGACUAAGUUAUUUUUUAAAUAUCAGAUUCUCAGUUUCUAAAAGUUCUUGAUACAUCUUUCUAGCUUAGCUUGAAUCUCCCUUUAACUAGAGCGCCCCAAUUCCCAGCAGAAGUUCUACACAGUACAACUCACAGAGCGCAUGUCUCAGAAGCAGCCCAGCAGCUUAUUGAAAAGCCCGGAUUCUUGUGAUGUACUGAAUCAGGAACUCUGGGAGACAGGGCCCAGAAACUGCAUUUUAACAGGCACUUUAGGGCGUUCUUCCGCGUGCUGAAGUUUGAGAACCACUAAUCUGGAAGCUCCACAAUGUACUGCAGAAGAGUCAUGGAAAACUUCUCUCUGUACGUCCUUCAGCAGCCAAACCCUGGACCCCUCAAAAGAGGAGACUCGAGUACACAGAAAUCUGUUGGAGCCCCAGUCCUGUGGCCCCAGCUUCCAAGGUCCCACAUCCAUAGAUUUAAUUGUGGAAAAGGCAGAUGGGAGAGGCCGGGUCCAGAGCCAAGUCUUGACCUGAGUUGAGACCACAGCAGACGUUAACACAAGGAAACACAGCUGAUGCAUGAGACUGAAGGACAAAUCUUGACUCUUGGAGACCUCAGAAGGAAUUGAUGCAUUCUCAAAUGCUGGCUGAACCUGGGUUGGUCUAUUCAGUUGACAGGAUCCUAUGACUCUUUCCACAUCGUAUUAGAGCACUCCCUGUGAAGUAAGGACAAGAAUCAUGCUAACAGGGGAGAAAAACUGCCAUGUGGAAAUCCUGCACUCAACAUGUGAGGGGAGGUGAAAGCCAAGAAAUAGAAAGAUGUCCUUUCUGUAUGUGGCGAUGCUAAGGAAAUGCUGUCUCUACAUUGUUUAUCCGGAUCCACAGAAAAUGACUUUUGCGGUCACACUUCAUUUUGUAGCAUUUUUUGCAAAUCAUUUGGAUUAAGGUAGCACACAACCAUGGUGUUGAACUAAGUGGAAUGUGUGGCUGGAUAUGGAAGUUUACUGACAACCCAACCAGAGUUGGGAAGCUUGAAAGCUCUGCUGUGGCUCCGGGAGCUGUCUGUGAACCCAGGUGAAGUUUUGGCUCAGCUAAGAGGUAACUUGAUCCAAGUAUAAGCAAGAUAGAAUUAUCAUGGUCCGGAGCAGAUGGAUGGGGUGAAUCACAUGAAAUCAGCCUAAAUUUAUCAGAAGCCAUCAGCAAAGUUUCUUCUAUUUAUGUCUAGUGUUCUAGUUAUCUAUUGCCGCAUAUCAAAGUAUCGCAAAACUUAGUGGAUUAAAACAGCUAUUUUAUUAUAUUUCAUGAUUUGCAUGGGUCAGGAAUGCAGGCCGGGCUUGGCUGAACAAUUCUGUUCCCCGUGGCACGAACGACGGUUACUCAGAGGUAUUCAGCUGGCAGAUGGGCUGGUGGGAAGGGUCUGAGAUGGCUUCACUCACACAUCAGGCUCACGGGUGGACCUUGCUGGAAGGUUGGGCUCAGUGGGCACUGUUGAUCAGAGAACCAAGUCUCCUGUGAACAAAGUGGAAGCUACGUGGCUUUUUAUGACCUAGCUUUGGAGUCAUAUAGGGUCACCUCUGCCAUACUACACGUCAAAGCAGUCACAAACACACCCAGAUUCAAGGGGAAGGGACUCAAACCCAACCCCUCAAUGGUAGGCUGUGUAAAGUGCAACUUCCAAUUUGGGUUAGAAGCUAAGAGGGGAGGUGCGAGCCUGCAGGCUUUCUCUGAGUCUGAGAUCAUAGCUGCAGCUGCUUUGCCUGGGGAUUUGUGACCUAGGGCACAGGCAGGGAGGGAACUGGGAAGGAGGGAUCUGACGUGGCUAAAUCUCUGCUCUCCUGACAGUGCUCCCUGCUCCCGCUUGUGCUUGGCUGGCAGACAGCUCUGCACCCAGGGCUGCAGUCCUGACUAAAGAGCUGAGUGAAGGGUUUCUCCUGCUCCAGACACUGGGCCCCUGGAACUGAGAAGAGGGGAGGAGGCCAGCGUGGAAGGGUGUGUCUGAUCUGAACAAUGGGCAAAUCAAGCAGGGAUCAGGAGCCUGAGAAAUAAUGCCCAGAGUUGCUCAUUACAUGGGAGACCUGCAACUGAGGUUAGGCUCCAUGGAGCACCGCCACCGAAGCCUGCCUCUCCCAAGGCAAGGCCACCACGCGGGCGUCAGACCUGAUGUUACUGUCUGAUCAUGGAGCAGAGGAGAACAGCACGGCCUCCUACACACCUGGGGAUGAGUGCCUGGCACAGGUGUGUCCUCAGAAAAGAUCAAGGAGAAAAUAAACGGAUCAAUUUAAUGUUUGUGUUUUCCUUCUUUCCUUCCUCCCUUUCUUCCUUCCUUUCCUUCCUUCCUUUCUUUCUUUUUUUGUCGUUUACUACAUUAGAGACCUAGAAAUGGAUCACAGCGGGGGGGUUGGUAAUGAAAGGAGGGGAAAGAAACAGAC
ensembl:lncRNA